rnacentral:rRNA from 1 species
CAAUAGCGUAUAUUAAAGUUGUUGCAGUUAAAAAGCUCGUAGUUGGAUUUGUGGCGUACGGUGUGUUCCGGGCACUUGUUGUCUGAGUAACCUGCUGUUGCCAUCCUUGGGUGGAACCUGUGUGGCAUUAGGUUGUCGUGCAGGGGAUGCCCAUCAUUUACUGUGAAAAAAUUAGAGUGUUCAAAGCAGGCUUAUGCCGUUGAAUAUAUUAGCAUGGAAUAAUGAGAUAGGACUUUUUUGCUAUUUUGUUGGUUUGCGCAAAGAGGUAAUGAUUAAUAGGGACAGUUGGGGGUAUUCGUAUUCCAUUGUCAGAGGUGAAAUUCUUGGAUUUUUGGAAGACGAACUACUGCGAAAGCAUUUACCAAGAAUGUUUUCAUUAA